GUAGACGCUCUCUUGCACAAAUACUUUAACGCAAAAACUCUUGCGUUAAAAGUAUUGGCGCAAAAUCUUGCCAAUGUAGACGUAGCCAAGGUGUUUUCUUUAGCCUGCACAUCAUAGAGAUCCUGCAUUUUGAGCUUUGUUAACAAGUCAGAGUCAGAAAAUAAUGCAGUUUUCUCGCCAAACCUAAAUCUGCUAUUUAUUGCCAAUAGAUAUAAAAACAUCAAAAAUUACUUUUGUCACUAAAGUUAGCUGAUAUGAUGUAGAACAUGUAUAGUGAGCAUACCUAUUGAGCAAUAAGCUGCCAUGUGUAUAACUAUCAGUUAAACAAGUACUUUAAUUAUUUUAAUCUUCUUAAUUAUCUAACAAAUACCUAGGAAAUCUGGGUUCCGUUUUCUAAUAUAAAGGCUCUGUCAAACGCUCUUAAACUUUCAUUUUUGGGGGAAAGAAAUUAGGGCUUUGAAAAGGCAUUCUCUACUGGGCAAAAUCUUUUCUGCUUUGAGAGUUUGAACACUAAGGAGCAUUAUAACAUACAUCUAAUAAACCCUUCUAUAUUCUGUCCUGGCAUCAAGUUAGAGACAAUGUCAAAUAAAAAUUAUGCGCUACUGGGUUUGCAAAUCAGAAAAUUUGGCAGUGUAUUUAAAACAAAAAUCAGCAAUAUUAGAAAUAUUCCUCAGAAUAUGCUGGCUGAAUAUCUAUCUUUGACUCCAUUUCCAUUGUUUACUCUUUGCAUUUCCCUCAAUCUGAAUAUCUUUCAUCUUGCUUAGAGUCAGUUGCAAUUUCAUGCUCUCCAUACUGCAGUAUUUUUGUUGCAAACAGUGCAGGGGGAUGUAAAUUUGUAUAUGUUCCUAUUUUAUUUUAAUUGGUUUCCAAUGGAAUAUUUUUACUUAAGAAAAAUCCCUAAGAAGCAUUUCUAUUACUCUGAGGAUUUAUAAAAGCUCGGUUUUUCAAAAUGUAAAUUUUUCACAAAUACAGAUUUGAUCUAAUUGUAUCAUUUUAAAUUGUGCAGUCAGUAUCUUACAUCUCUUCAAGUGUGCUUGUUUUAAAAAAAUUGAAAAAACAGAGGGCAAAAAAAAGUCAGUCGGCAAAGAGUACAUAGCAAGAACAGUUAAUACUUUCAUUAACUAAAGGAAGAGUUAAGCUACAGUCUGAUGUUUUUUUAAUUUAGACUUGAUCCAAAGCUCAUUGAAGCCAAUCAAAGGACUCUGUUUGACUUUAGUGGGCUUAAAGUCAGACCCUUAUUUUAUAGUGCAGGUGUGGAUAGAAGGUAGAUCUGAUGCCCCUGUGGUACUGGGUGCUGGGUAUGAGCAUUCUUGGCAUCUUACUUUAUAUUCACUGACUCAGAAAAUAGAUGUUAAUGUUUAAUCAAUUGUAGGUACUUUGGUGGGUGCCUUUACCAUAAUGUUUGAGCACCUUAUCCUCACAGCCCUUCUCUGAGGUAAGGAUUAUUACCCCUAUUUUAUAGUCAGAAGCACUGAGAAGCUAAGUCACUUACCCAAGAUCACAUAGGAAUUUUGUGGUAGAACAAGGAAUUAAACUCCUGUUUUAAGAGAGACUAGCACCCUCAUCUCUGGACCAAUUUUCCUUUCAAAUGCACUGAAUUAUUCCUGAGGCUAUAGUAGCUGCAGGGAUUUGAUACAAAAAAUCACUGCUCCCACCCUAUUUCCAUGUAUUGAAAUGUGAAGUACAUUAAUUGUGUAACAUGGAUUAUCAAAAUAAUUGCACCGGGUUCCAAAAUUGAUUUAGACUUAUGUGUUUGGGUCUGUGCCUAAAAGAAAAUGCAUGGAUCUUCUCCUAAGUGUCUCAGUCUAGAACCAGGUGUUAUUCUUAGAAGAUGACUGUCAUGAUUCUUGGUACCUAAAUACUCUACAAUAUUUCAAUUAGUUCUGCAUUGCAAAAUCACAGACUGCAGUUUCAAGGCUGAGAAAUAAUAAACAUGGCACUUGAUCAUCUCUGCUGUUUUUAGAUGCUGUCAUGGCUACAGAAUAGAGGACAAAGUAAUGACAUAAUUCAUCCGUAUGCAAUGGUACACUACUUGCUUUGUACUGUGAUUCAUGGAAUGUAAAGCCUGAAGGGACCAUUGGAUCAUUAAUCUGACUUCCUGUAUAUAUCACAGACCAUUACAUUUUACCCAGUUACCCUCAACAGCCUCCUCAGUUACUAAUGGACUGCCUUGCCAGCUGCCAAGCAGACAUUCCCAAAGAGAGGCGAACCCCAUUACUUCCAAGGAGAGUUGCUGAAAGGUAAAGUGGGCCCUGUACCACCCACUCAAUUGAAGAUGUUGGUCUUCAACACCCACUCAGUCUUGCAUGGAGAGAGAAGCCCCCUCCCUGUGAUUUGUGUUGCCUUUAGACAACAGGUGAUGCAUAUAACCCAGGAGGAGACAAGAGUUGGAGGGAGGAGGGUUCCCAUAGGCAUUAAUUUACCAUUGACUGUUCAUUUUCUGUGAACCAUCUUAGCUCCUGAACGCUACAUGCAAUAGCUCUCUAAUUCCUGGGUGCCCCCUCCUGGCCUGGAGUGGAUCUGCAGUGCCUUGCCUCAGUUCCCUCUUGCGUUUCCUCAGUCACUCCACAGCGUGUUGUGUCCAAUAACAACACCUCCUCUUACACAUCUGGUUUUAUUAAUAUAGUAUUCCAAAUAGAACACAAUCUCCCACCGACGAGCUGGGUACAGACACUCCUUCCUGAGGUAGGUCUGCCUGUCAUCAAGUUUCCCUGUUGGGCACAGUUUUCAGUCCUUCCCAGGCUCUUCUCAGUCUCUCCCCUUAACCUACCCUGGGCUCCUUACACACUCUGCUUUCUUCUGAGCAUUCCCUCUCAGACCUUCCUACCUUGAGUCUGUCUCUGCUCUUUAUCUCUGCAGGAUCCCCUAGGCCUCUCUACCUGCAGUUUUUCACAGCGUCCAAGUGACCCUUCAGGCCCAAACUCUUCCCUCCAGUAAAGGUUUUCCUGCUUGAGUCUUCUGUAUAUUUAUCAUUCUCCUUUUAAUUAUGGCAUUAUUCCAUGGCUGUCUCGGGGGGGGGGGGGCUUUCCAGGGACAGUGACAGAAUAUUUUCUAAUAGCUAUCGAUGUUGGUUUUGCCUCUCCUUAAUCCCCAGCAGUCAUAUUAGCUGUGUUGUCAUCUUCAUUGUUCCUUGGUAUUUGGUCCAAAAGGUUAAUUCUAGUAGCUCCAUUCAAAGAGUAAUAGGCAUUUCACUAGUAGCUCCAUUCAAAGAGUAAUAGGCAUUUCACUGGUUGCUACCACUUGUGAUGCACAAUGCCAGUGCUUAGAUAUAGUCUAGUUUUCUCAGAUUUGUGUUCCCUGCUGACCUAAAUGCCUGGAAUGAUCAACAACAAUUUGUCUAAUUAGUACUUUGUACAGCCACACCAUUUUCUUAUCUGUUCCCCAGGGUGUUCCAGAGAUACUUUCAAAUAAAUUAAUUCUCUGUUUACACGUUACUUUUAUUUUCAGUAUGGUCCAUCCAAGAAAGCAUGUUAUCAAAUACACCUAAGAAUUUGUGAUUUUUUUCUGUAUAAUCUUCCUGUUCCUAUCUGACUCUUUAGAUUAGAGAGACCAACUGUUCUCUAUCAAGCCCCUCAAGAAGCUCUUAAGGAGGUACAGGUGGGUUGGACCAGUUCCUCCUUAAAAGGCCAAGUUCACCCUGUGACACUACACACAAAUAUAUGGAAAUUGGUACAGAUGGGAGUGUAGAACAAGUUAAUGUGAUAGGGAAAAGACAUUUACUUAGGUCAAAUCCCACAUUUCUUACAUUUUAACUUUAUUAAAAUCUUUUGAUUCUUAAUUGACUGGGAAUAGUGUACAAUAAAUCAGGCUAUUCCCGACUGUGAUUACUGGGAAUUCUUGUCGUUUAUGGGCAACUUUUUAAUUGUCAUAAUACAAUGAAACUGCCAGGUAUGUUUGUUAGUCAUAUGAGUGCCAUCAAAUGAGUUGCACUAUCUCAAAACAUUAAGUAACACACUAAGCAGUUAAAAUGAAGAAAUUACUUAGACCAAGAGCAUCCAGACUUAGCAGCUUCCAGAAUGGAACUCUUAACUUUCCAUUAGUUGGGGAGCUACUUGUAAUUAGCACAUUGUGGGGACAACAGUGGUUGCUCUCAAUUUUCAAGAGGGAGACAUGAUCCACAAAGACUAAGGUUCCUAACAUGUGGUGUUCCUGAACCAAGCAGAAUCCAGGUGGCAAAUGCAUGACCAACAGAGUUCUGCAAUGCACUCUGCGGACUGCCUUUGGCAGAGCCAUCUCAGAUCAAAACUGGACACUGCAUUCUGAGACUGCAAGUCUCUCUUUCAACCAUACUUCCCUAGUAAAGACAAGAGAGGACAUGAGUGGAGCCCAGCACAGAUACAAAAUUUAUAUCCACAUCUGUAUCCACAAAACUGAGCCACAGAUAUCUGCAUUGACAUCUGCAGAUGCAGAUACCUGUGGAUAUGAAGCGGAUAUCCAUGGAUUUGCAGGGCUCUAGACAUGCGUUUUUUUACUCAGGUCACCCGUGCUGUGAUAUAUUAAGUGUGUCCCUGCUACAAAAAAAUUUUCAGGAAUGACGAAAACUAUCCCCUCCCCCCACACUUUUGGCCUUCCAGUUUUUCCGUGCUUUCCAGCAGCUCCUGACAGUCAGUUUCAUCAGGACUGUGUAUCCUGGAUAGGAAUGUCUAGAAUAAUUUUUUCACCGUGAAUUCUAAAAGGAGACCAGAACAAUAUCCUUACAAGCUGAGGUAUGGAAUGUGUUCACGACACAACCAGCUCUCAAAUACCAAUGCAAUUAACACAGAAAAGAGUUGAUAUUUGAACCUUGGUGUGGUUAUAGCCAUUGGAUUGGAUGUUUUGGAGGAAACAUGAACGAAGUUACAAGCAAAUUGAAAGCUUACUUCCUGGUCUCUCGCUGUCUGCUAUAGAUUCUAACAGCUUAAAGGGUCAUGGUCAAGCUAAAAAACACUUUUCAUCUUAAGUCUUUUUCCUGCUAUUGCAUUACUACCCCCAAAGAUCAUUAUCAGUAGAAGAGAUUAGAGGGGAAAAUGUUCUUUCCCUCCAAAAGCUGUUGUUUGUGUAUUUGACAGCACUUUGUAUGUGUCAUUUUCAGUGUUUUGUUGAGGCUCUGUUUCUGGUUUCAUGGUUCAGCCUGGUAACCUUACUUAUGCACAGUGCAGAGGGAGGAGGCAAAAUCUUACAAACACUCAUUCCUGGUGCAUGAGAGAGAAGGUUCAUCAGGGCCAUCAGACAAUACCUGCAAACAAGCAUAUGCUAAAAGAAGUGAGGAAUAGGCCCAACCAUAUUUGAUGUUGCUGCUUUUAGGGCCACUCAAAAGAUAUCCAAAAUAAGAAGAGAUGCAAAAAUACACUUUUUUAUUUUUAAAGUUUUUUUUUUCUUUAAAAAACAUAAAAUUAAAUUAAAAUAAAAUAAAAGCCAGGGUGUAUUGUGUAAAGGAUGCUGAAUGAGAAAUCUGCUUUAAAAAAAGUAGUCACUUUCACAACAUCAGCUUACUAGUGUCCCUUUAAUAAAGCCUGUAUCUUCUUUGCUAUCACAUGUAUGUUUUUGCUGCCUAGCUUCACAGACACAGAGCUGUUUGCAUCACAGUGCUGCUGCAACUAUGUGCAUGAGGCAAAUGUAAAAUAUGUCAUUAAAUGAACACAAAGCACAAAAUCCAACCUCUGCACUUUCAUUCAGCCUCCCACACUAUUUGUGCCUUAUCAUGGAUAGGAGGAGAAGGGGGGGGGGG